UAAAGACCAGUCUUGUGGAGGGGAAACUUUGCCUUUUCUGCCCUCUGGUACCAGUAGUGAACAACACUAAUUGUAUUUUGACACAUUUGCUACUUGUCUGUAUGUAACAAGGCCGCUGUUAGAACUACACAUUUCCAGUUUAGUGUGAUAACACGGAUGCAAAAAAAGAUUAAUCAUCCUGAUCGUUAGUUUGGCUGCAAAUGUCCAGAAACAUGACACUUUCUGGGGACAAGGAAGAUGCUUCACUUUCUGCGAGGAACAAAUCGCGACUGGAAAACCAGAAAUACCGAGGGUGUGUGAGGUUACAGCAGGGCCAGAGGUCAGAGGUCAGGGGUCGGGGGUUAAAGCGAAGUCUCUCGGAGAAGCCGUAUUUCCCAGUCUGGACGCUAGGGGGCGCGCUCAGGUUGAUGUAGCCCGCGGACAGCGCUCUCCGCUGCAUUCUUCCCCAGUUCGCAAGCGGUGCCGGAUGGUCCAAAGGUUGCGGGUUCGAGGGGAUCUCGCUGUUCUGCGGCAGUCAUGGCGGCGCCGUUGGCGCAGUUCGACGAGGACUGGCAGGACUUCAACGAGUUCCAGCCGUUCUCGGAGGGACAGGGCCGCCUGGACGAGGUGAACUCGAACAAUGUCGGGGACGCGGCGGGCCUGCUGGACGAUUUCUCCGAGCUCGACAACAGCUUCUCGGGCGACGGCAGCAGCUUCAGGUCCGUGGAGGACCUGGUGAAGGACUUCGAGGAGAAGCUCGCUGUUUGCUUCCGCAGCUGCGGCGGCGCCAGGACGGAGAACGUGGCCCCGGUGGUGCCGAUCACAGAAGAGAGCAUGUUGAAGGACGACGAGAUCUGGAAUGCUCUGACAGAUAACUAUGGCAACGUGAUGCCGGUGGACUGGAAGACAUCUCACACCCGGUCACUACACCUCCCCACCUUGAAUCUAAUGGAGAAAGGGAAGCCGGAGAACGCGAACUUGGACCUUUCGGAUGAUGAGGAGCUGAGGGAGCAGCUGGACAUGCACUCGAUCAUCGUGUCCUGCAUCAACGAUGAGCCUCUCUUCACUGCCGAACAGGUGAUUGAGGAGAUUGAGGAGAUGAUGCAGGAGUCGCCAGACCCCGAGGAGUUGGAGGUCCCAUCUCAGUCCGACCUCUCUCUCCUGUCCCAGGAGAUGCACACGCUUCAGAGGUCCUGUACAAGUAGCAGCUAUGAGGAGAGGUUGAAGCACCUGUCCGUGGCAGAGCUGAACGAGCUCUUGGAGGAGGUGGAGGCAGACAUCCGGCAGCACUCGGAGGAGCUGAUCCAGCAAUUGGCACUGAGAGAUGAGCUGGACUUUGAGAAAGAGGUGAAGAACAGCUUCAUCAGCGUUCUCAUCGACGUGCAGAACAAGCAGAAGGAGCACCGUGAGCUCCUGAAGAAGAGGAAGAAGCUCCGUAGCGGAGGAGCCCAGCAGGGCCGCCCAGAGAGAACACAUGCACCAGGAACACGCUUCAGCAUGGAGAGCUUCUCCACCGCCAUUCAGAAUGGCUUCCGCAACACGUUCGGCAGUUCUGGCGGGGACAAACAGUAUCUAACUACCGUCAUCCCCUACGAGAAGAAAGGAGGACCCCCAUCGGUGGAAGACCUCCAGAUUCUAACCAAGAUUCUGCAGGCCAUGAGAGAGGACAGCGAUAAGGUGCCAAGCCUUCUAACAGACUACAUUCUCAAAGUUCUGUGUCCUACGUAGACCACCGAUGAAGGGGAGGUGUGUCCCGGACAACAAAGGAUUUCAUCUCCCAAUAUUGUUUGAAAUGCUGGCGUUCAAUACAUUGAAAGAAAUAGAGGUUGCGAUCAGUCCCAGCUGCUUCUGGACCAUCCCCGACUCCGCCCCUUCUUCCGACCGCCCCGGCGUGCUACACAGCGUAACAGUUGACUGGUUCUUGUUUACACAGGUAGUAAUAGAAGGAUGUUCCAGUGCUCUUUAGGGAAUCUUAACACUAACACUGGCUCCUGACCAUAAACAGUUGGUGUGUUAACUUGAUUUGUUCAUAAAUCCCUUGCCGCAGUUUACAUUUUCAGUUUGAAUAGGAGUUUAUUUUAGUUUUAACUCAGUCUCAUAUAUGCAGUAUGUUUAUCAUUUUAUUAACCAAUACUCAGGAACGCAGUGCUCUCUGGCAAUGGGUUGAAAUAGUGUGCUCCAGCACUUUUGCUUGGGUGUAUUUGCCUGACCCCAUAAAUACAGGUUGCUUUCGCUCUGCAAUAAAUUUUAGAUGUAAAGAUCCUCACGCAUUUGUAACUUCAUAGUAACAGAAGGAGCCAUUUUAAUUCAAUAUUAGAAUUACUCUUCAGUAUUUCUACUUUGUAAGGUGCUUAUUUUAAUUAACGUGCACACUGAGUUAUUGUUUUUGCUGUGAUUUAUACCACAUCUGCCCCCUGAAUAUUCAGGUCCUGAAAAAAUGGCUCUGAUGGCAACUUAUGAUUUCUGCUUGACUGAAGAAUGCUUAAGACAGGGAUUGCUGGUUUAUAUGGAACCCUAGAAGAACAAAUGAAUGUUGACCAGUUGUCUGUGUUGCCUCUGGCAAGUGUUAUUCCAGUAGCAGCUGCCCUAAACAACUGUAGAUCAGUACAAUUCUUGGCCCGAGUGCAAAUGGAAUCAUUCUGGGUUACUGUUGCAGAUCUCUGUGGGAUUGCUCUUGUCAAAGAGACUGUUGUGUAUGUAAAGUACUGUAUAUUUUACCACAUCUGUAGUGUCAUCAAGAUUGCCGUAGUGUGCACAAUACACAGCACUGCAAGCCAGAGGCCAUAGCAGGAUUCUGCCAUGAACUUGUACAGCUCUGCGCUGUAGAUACUACAGUCAUGCACAACAGAAUUAGUAGAAAACACUUCUGUUGUACAGUGAUCAUAUGGCUUUACUUAUUUUCUCUGCUCUGAUAUCCACACAUAUCAACUGAGUGAAAUAGUAAUAAGUUGAUUCUGUAUCUAAAGAUGUAUAUUAAUAUACACAAAAGGCUGCCUUUGCUAAUGCCUGUCAUUUUUACAUAAGUUAUUCAUCUGAAAUAAAGCAUUCUUUUUCUAA